rnacentral:rRNA from 1 species
CCUACGGGAGGCAGCAGUGGGGAAUAUUGGACAAUGGGCGAAAGCCUGAUCCAGCCAUGCCGCGUGUGUGAAGAAGGCCUUCGGGUUGUAAAGCACUUUCAGUGGGGAAGAAAGCCUUGGGGCUAAUACCCUCGAGGAAGGACAUCACCCACAGAAGAAGCACCGGCUAACUCCGUGCCAGCAGCCGCGGUAAUACGGAGGGUGCGAGCGUUAAUCGGAAUUACUGGGCGUAAAGCGCGCGUAGGCGGUCUGAUAAGCCGGUUGUGAAAGCCCCGGGCUCAACCUGGGAACGGCAUCCGGAACUGUCCGGCUAGAGUGCAGGAGAGGAAGGUAGAAUUCCCGGUGUAGCGGUGAAAUGCGUAGAGAUCUGGAGGAAUACCAGUGGCGAAGGCGGCCUUCUGGACUGACACUGACGCUGAGGUGCGAAAGCGUGGGUAGCAAACAGGAUUAGAUACCCGGGUAGUC